GGUUGCACUAGUGUGUGCCUGUAAUCCCUACUAUUGAAGGGAAGCUAGUGGAUAGCUUGAGUUUAGGAGCUCUGAGUUACAGAAGGGCUAAGGCUGAUGAGGAUUCCCACCAAGUCUGGCACCAAUAGGAUGAGCAUGUGAAAUCAGGUACCUUUCUAAGGAGGGGCUAACCAGCUCAGCUCAGAAAUGUAGCAGGUUAAAGCUUCCAUUUCAGUCAGCAGCAGGAUCAGGCCCUUGAGUGGCAGCCAUACUUUCAGCUUGGGCAAGAUAGGGAGACUUACUUUCA
rnacentral:SRP_RNA from 1 species